UCCGAGUUGUCACCGGCAGUCUCGCAUGAGUCCCCAACUAAAUGCUGGCAACAUGCGACGGGGGUUGCGCUCGUUGCGGGACUUAACCCAACAUGUCACCACACGAGCUGACGACAGCCAUGCAGCACCUGUCAUCCUGUGGUAUUGCUACCAAGACCGUAUCUCUACGGCUGUCAGGAGAUGUCAAAUCCAGGUAAGGUUCUUCGCGUUGCUUCGAAUUAAACCACAUGAUCCACCGCUUGUGCGGGCCCCCGUCAAUUCCUUUGAGGUUUAGUCUUGCGACCGUACUUCCCAGGCGGGGUACUUAGUGCGUUAGCGCCGAUUCGGCGGGGGUCAAGACCCACCAAAUCUAGUACCCAUCGUUUACAGCGUGGACUAC
rnacentral:misc_RNA from 1 species